rnacentral:rRNA from 1 species
UUGAACGCUGGCGGCAGGCCUAACACAUGCAAGUCGAACGGUAACAGGAAGAAGCUUGCUUCUUUGCUGACGAGUGGCGGCCGGGUGAGUAAUGUCUGGGAAACUGCCUGAUGGAGGGGGAUAACUACUGGAAACGGUAGCUAAUACCGCAUAACGUCGCAAGACCCAAGAGGGGGACCUUCGGGCCUCUUGCCAUCGGAUGUGCCCAGAUGGGAUUAGCUAGUAGGUGGGGUAACGGCUCACCUAGGCGACGAUCCCUAGCUGGUCUGAGAGGAUGACCAGCCACACUGGAACUGAGACACGGUCCAGACUCCUACGGGAGGCAGCAGUGGGGAAUAUUGCACAAUGGGCGCAAGCCUGAUGCAGCCAUGCCGCGUGUAUGAAGAAGGCCUUCGGGUUGUAAAGUACUUUCAGCGGGGAGGAAGGGAGUAAAGUUAAUACCUUUGCUCAUUGACGUUACCCGCAGAAGAAGCACCGGCUAACUCCGUG